rnacentral:miRNA from 1 species
UACACAUGUGGAUUGAGGUGA